UUCACCGUCCCGCCUGCCAUGUAAACAGCUGAAAUGUAAAACCCCAGAGCUGCUGAUAGGAAGCAGAUGCGGCUCCGGAGCCAGGCCGGGCACGUGCCAAGGCCCCGGGCCAGGCGUGAGCCGGCGCAGCCAGGGCAAGGGAGGGGGAGCGAGUGAGCCACGUGGGUGUGACCAGCGGGGUGGUGACUGAGCACCCCUGGGUGCAGGCACAAGUCUCCAAAGGAGGUGGCACAGUGGGUGUGUCAAGGUGGGGUGUUUUUGCAACAUUAUCAUCAAAGGAAAAUACCUUGGAAGGAUCAGGGAACCCAGGAGUCCGGGCCCUGCCCUGCCCUCUUCUCCCCCCGGCUCAGCCUUGGGGUGCGGCUGGCCGGGAGGGGGGUGUCGGGCCUGGCUGCUCUGUGAGAGCGACGCUGCUGCCACCUGGUGUCUGUGAGGGGCAUCGGCGGGGCCAGGAGCAGAGAUUAUCGGAAGAGGGAAGCCAGUUUUCCUGCUUUUUUACAGCUCUCCGUCUGCGUGUUCUUUGCCCGAGCCCAUCACUGAACUGAAUGAGCCGAAUAGAUGGAACCGAAGAAAAUGUCAUCUCUGCAGGAGGCGAGCGCUGACGAAAGCUGGUUCAACCCUUCACUAGCUGCUGGUUCUGGGUGCUGAGCCGGGACUCCAGCCAGGGCAGUGGGGAGACGUUUGAGACAAGGCAGGUACCUGCAGAUGGUGGUUGAGUCACCCCCCAAAACCGAUGGCGCGGCCCCCUCCAGAGCCCUUUUUCUGACCCUUCAGUUCCUCCACGACUCUUCUCGGAGCCUCUCCAACAGAUCCCCGGCCUCGUGGAGCUGCGGGUACCAGAACCAGAGCCGGGACCCAGCAGCCUCUGCGCCAGCACUGAACACCGAGCUCACAGAUGAAAAAGUGAAACCGCCCCUGGCCAAGAAACAACCCCAUCAGCAGGACCCCAGUAGCCUCCGCCUGCUUGCUCCAGGCUGGUUUCCUGUUCUCAGCUACGUUCUGAGAACAAGCAUUUCAUGUUGGACUGGGAGGCUUUACUUACCCAUUUACCCUUUUCAAACACUGGUACAAUGUUAGCUUUCCUCCACAGUUCUGGAACUUCCCCAGUAGCCAAGAGUUGUUGACAAUCACCAUUAAUGGCCCAGUGAGUUUCUCAGCCACCUCUUUUAAAACUCUUGAUUAUGUGCACCUGCUGAUUUAAAAAAUGUCUCUGAAGUUAUAGAAUGGAAAAUGUUUCAUUAUAUGCUAGGGCUGCCUCAUGUAUUUUUCUUAAACAGAACAGAAGUAUUAUAUGGACACUUCUGCCGUUUCUGUAUCAUUAUUGACAUCUCUGCUAGCCAUAGAGUUCUCCUGGUCUCCUUUGCUUCCCUCAUCAAUUUUCUACAUUUCCUAGUUCCUAAUUAUAUCUUCAUUACUGUUAUCCCCCCCUUUAUUCCAUUAGUUACAUAUAUAUAUUUUCCCCCUCUUGCUGCAAAUCUCUGAUCAGACCUGUAACCUCCGCCUCUGUCAGCGCCAGCUGGGGAAAACUCCAUUGCUUAAUGGGCCGGGACUGAGGCCCUAAACCAGCCCCUCUUGCAUGUUUAUGAUCCAUGCACCUGAGUGGCAGAUGUCACCUCCGAGCUGUCGGGAUGCCGCCACCCUGGUGAAAAUGCUUGAAGCUGGGGCUGUGAUGGGGGAGUUUUCCAUCCUUUAGCUUGAAAUGCACAAGCUUUGGCACCAAAACGGCCCUGACACCCCCCCCCCGCCCCCGGACAAUAGUGUGUUGGGUGAUAAGGGGGACACGCACCGU